rnacentral:rRNA from 1 species
UACGUAGGGUGCAAGCGUUAAUCGGAAUUACUGGGCGUAAAGCGUGCGCAGGCGGUUCGCUAAGACCGAUGUGAAAUCCCCGGGCUUAACCUGGGAACUGCAUUGGUGACUGGCGGGCUAGAGUAUGGCAGAGGGGGGUAGAAUUCCACGUGUAGCAGUGAAAUGCGUAGAGAUGCGGAGGAACACCGAUGGCGAAGGCAGCCCCCUGGGCCAACACUGACGCUCAGGCACGAAAGCGUGGGGAGCAAACAGG